rnacentral:rRNA from 1 species
UACGUAGGGGGCAAGCGGUUGUCCGGAUUUAUUGGGCGUAAAGAGCGUGUAGGCGGCCUGAAAGGUCAGCUGUGAAACUCGAGGCUCAACCUCGAGACGUCGGUUGAAACCAUCUGGCUAGAGUCCGGAAGAGGAGUGUGGAAUUCCCGGUGUAGCGGUGGAAUGCGCAGAUAUCGGGAGGAACACCGACGGCGAAGGCAGCGCCCUGGCCGCC